UUGGCUGGUGUAGAUGUGAAGCACUGCAGUGGUGGACUGCUUUUGGCUCGUCAAGAGCAGCAGCAACCAUCAUCAGAGCUCGGAGGAGGCACCACCCAACACACUCCGGAAUCAAACUUAGCCAGUGGAUGCAAGCCCUCCAUCUCCAUGGAGGAAGAUGGCGGCUUGGAUGCUGCAAGCCUGGCGGAGGCGCUGCAGCUGGUCCUCUCGGCGUUUCGGGCCAUGGAGGGACUGGCCGCCCAGAUCCACUCCUGCCACAGGACCCGUCGGAAAUGGGAGCUUAGGAGGUGCCGGUCCAAGGUCGCCGACCCGGAUCUGGACCUUCUCAUCGCCCAUCUGCUCCAGAUCUGGAGCAUAUGUGCCGGCGCCUACCCACAGCGUGCCGGCGACAAGGCUCUGGCUCUGCAGGCCAGGGACGCCGUCCACUUCAUGGAGGCCCUGCAGGACAAGCUCCAGUACGGUAAACUUCAACCCAGCCAUGGAUCCAAGCUCCUUUCCGCUCUGAGGUGGUGUGGUUGCAGCCGUCUUCUUGUUGCACUGUUUGCGUCCAAGCCAACCCACAGGGUCAUGAGGGGCAUCAAGGUGGUGAAUCAAGAAACUCGCAAGAUUGGCAUCCUGCUGUAUGGGCGCAGGCUCAGCUUCCAAUUCGCCCAUGCCUGAUUCAGGCAGGCAAGUUAUUCAGACUGGGGUGUUUGUUGGGCGCCACAAGGAGAGGGAUGACGUCGUGCACAUGCUCAUCAAGCCAUGCGCCAAGGUUACUGCACCUGACAUGAUGGUUUCCAUUGUUGGUACUGCAGGAAUUGGGAAGACCACGCUCACUCAGAUGGUAUUCAAUGAUACAAGAGUUGCCAAGCAUUUUGAAGUCAGAUGUUGGGUGUCAGUUUCCACUGGUUCCAACACAAUGGAGCUCACAGCCGAGAUCUUAAGGUCAGCCCAGCCACCUUGGGAUAUAUCUGUUGACAAGAUGGUGGAUUUUCAAAUGAUUCAGUCCGAGCUCCGUCGACUUGUUACAUCCAAGAGGUAUCUCAUUGUUAUUGAUGAUGUAUGUAAUGGCAUGGACGAGAUCUGGCUGGACAUGAUGCCUCCUCUACAGUCAGCAGAUAUUGGUAGCAGAAUUCUGGCAACUUCUCGCAUCAACACUGUCCCUCACUUCCUCGGUGCGUCGCAGCUAUACCCUGUAAAUCCGCUCAGUAGCGACGAUUGCUGGGCCAUGCUCAAGGAACAUGCUUUUCCAAGUGGGCGCGAGAAUGCCUAUCCAGAUCUUCACCCAAUCGGGAAGCAGAUUGCUGUAAAAAUCAAUGGGUCACCUCUGGCUGCCAAGCUGGUGGGAGUUUUGCUGGGAGAUACAAGGACCAAAAAUCACUGGAUGAAGAUCAUGAAAACAGGAUUACAAGACAAUGCUGUUCUACCUGCCCUGCGCUUGAGCUAUAAGUACCUACCGGUACACCUCAAGCGGUGCUUCGCAUAUUGCAGUUUGUUUCCACAGAACUAUAAGUUUGAUCCAGCACACUUGUCCCGCCUUUGGAUUGCCGAGGGUUUUGUUCAACCACAAGGCACGGCUGACAAAAGGAUGGAAGACAUAGCUAGAGAAUAUUUUGGUCUGCUCCUUUCACGCUCAUUUUUCCAAGAAAUCAAGCUUGGAUCCAGGACUUACUACUUAAUGCAUGACUUACUCCAUGAUCUUGCAAAGUCUGUUGCAGCAGAGGACUGCUUCCAUAUUGAGGAUGGCAUGAAUUGUGACAUCCCAUCAACAGUGCGCCAUCUGUCGGUCACUGUGAAGAGUCUAAUUGGUCUCACAAGCUUCCCUGGGCUAGAAGAGCUGCGCACCUUGUUAAUCCGACCAUCACUUCUGUCCUCCUCCAGUUGCCUCCAAGAAGAUUUUUCUUUGAAUUUAGAAAAUAUCUUGUUGAAGUGCAAACAUUUGCGUGUUCUUGAUCUCAGCGGCUAUAACUCCAAAGAGUUGCCUCAUUGCAUUUAUGACUUACUGCACCUCCGUUACCUAUCUAUCAAUGCCACCAUCCAAAAACUUCCGGAGUUGAUUGGAAAGCUUCUGCAUCUGCAAACAUUGUGCAUCACUGGGAAAUGUUCCCUUGAGAAGCUUCCUGCGAGCGUUAAUAUGUUGGUCAAUAGCGGCAUCUUAUGGUUGAAAUAAAGUAUACUGCAGGAAUGGUAGGCAUUGGCCGGCUAGCAAACCUCCAGGGAUCACUUGAGCUCCACGUUGAGAAGAGGGAAGGGCGCAAACCAGAAGAGUUGAGGAACAUCAAUGGUCUUCAUGGGUUACUAAAUAUAAAAUGUCUAGAAAAUGUUUCAGGCUAUGAAGAAGCCCGCAAAGCUGAGUUGAAUAAGAAACUUUAUCUUAAUUCUCUGAAUUUGGAACGGAGCUCAGCUAGUAGAAAUAGCUCCCCUCCUGCUGAUGAAGAGGUGCUUGAAGGUCUGCGGCCUCACCAUGUCAUAAAGGUACUUCAUAUUAGAAGGUAUUGUGGCGCAGAAGCUCCCAGUUGGCUGCAGUCACUGCAGCAACUGCGUUCCUUGCACCUUAUCAAUUGCAGGAGUUUGUGUAUCCUUCCUCCAUUGGGAAAUUUAGGAUCACUCAGAUAUUUACACAUGAAGGAGAUGUGUGCAGUUGAUCAAAUUGGACAUGAGUUUUAUGGCACCGGUGAUGUGGCAUUUCCAUCUCUAAUUGUCCUUGAAUUUGAUGAUUUCCCGAAGUUGUGUGAGUGGGCUGGCAUAGAGGACAAGAACUCAUUUCCAUGCCUUGAAAGGGUAAGUCUGAUGGAUUGUCCAGAAUUGAUCAAAAUUCCUUCAACCAAGCUACUCGUGAAGUUACCAUCAAACGUACACGGUUGAUACCAUAUAUGAGGCUUGCACCCUGUUCUUCAAGUUCAGAAAUGCUCCAGCUGGAUGUUUGCACAAGUUCUGUCAUCCUCAAUAGAUUACUCUACAAACAUCAUAUACAGUCCAUUGCAGUGUUAAAUAUAAGUAGGGCUGAGCAGCUUGCUGCUGCUGAACAACUGGGGUCUCUGGUAUCUCUGCAAAAACUUCAGCUCUCUUGGUUUGAUCUUACUGACCAGACUCUAAGAAGCUUUCUCCAGGAUCUGCCUUGUUUUUCUUCUUUGGAGAUUACAGACCUUCCUAACAUAACAUCACUUCCAGUAGCAGGAACUGUCAAGUUCUGCACAAUGCUCACUGAGUUGUGCAUUCGCAACUGUCAAUCGCAACUGUCAAUCGCUUUGUUCUCUAUCCUCAUUGCAGUAUCUUGCUUCACUAAAAUAUCUGGUGAUCGAGAGGUGCCCUGAAGUAACUGCAAUAUCAUUUCCUGUGAACUUUAUGAGCCUUUCAUAUCUGAAGGUGCUGAGAAUGUCGUACUGCACGGAGCUUCAAUCUUUACCGGAUCUGCCGUCCUCCCUGGAAACACUUCAUAUCUUUCGGUGCCACCCUGAAUUGUCCAGGCAAUCAAGAAACAUGAAAGGGCAUUAUGUUGAGAAGCUUGCAGUUGUGCCUAGUGUAUCGAUUGAGGAACAGAAUAUUGUGAAGGAUGCUGAAACGCUGGAGGCAACAAGUUUGAAGUAUCAACUCGCCUUGUGAUAGUCAAAGGGAUAUCUUCACCAUUGUACUGAAGUCCCGAAAUCCAAAUCAGCCGCGCAGUCUGGCGAAAAUUUGUGAAUAAAUGGGGGGAAAACCAGGCCGAUAGAGCUGUGCAGAGCAGCAGUUCUCUUCCGCCUUUGUCGCACCCUUUCCCCCUGGUUCUUGCAGUUGUAAUCGCCUAGCAUGUUCAACUAGCGGACUGUUUCUUUAAAAAAAAAAUACAAAAACUAGUGGACUGUUGAGAUCUUGCUUUUUAUCAGAACAAUUUGCUGUACUUUUGCUUUUGUUGUGUUCUAUGUAAUUCGUGGAUUGUAUUUGGAUAUUUGGAAUCGUAUAAACCUGUGUGGUUGUGCGGUGCUGUGUGCGCUAGUUUAGGAGCUUGUAUUCAACCAAUGUAAUGUUUUGGACAAGUGAUUUGCUGUUAUUUGCAUUUGCACGGCUAGACAUCCUAUUUUUUA